rnacentral:rRNA from 1 species
GAUGAACGCUGGCGGCGUGCCUAAUACAUGCAAGUCGAGCGAACAGAUGAGGAGCUUGCUCCUCUGACGUUAGCGGCGGACGGGUGAGUAACACGUGGAUAACCUACCUAUAAGACUGGGAUAACUUCGGGAAACCGGAGCUAAUACCGGAUAAUAUAUUGAACCGCAUGGUUCAAUAGUGAAAGACGGUUUUGAUGUCACUUAUAGAUGGAUCCGCGCCGCAUUAGCUAGUUGGUAAGGUAACGGCUUACCAAGGCAACGAUGCGUAGCCGACCUGAGAGGGUACGCGGAGACGCUGGAACGGAGACGCGGUCCAGACUCCUACGAGAGGCAGCAGUAGGGAAUCUUCCGCAAUGGGAGAAAGCUUGACGGAGCAACGCCGCGUGAGUGAUGAAGGUCUUCGGAUCGUAAAACUCUGUAAUUAGGGAAGAACAAAUGUGUAAGUAACUAUGCACGUCUUGACGGUACCUAAUCAGAAAGCCACGGCUAACUACGUG